GGGACCUUUAUCAGCACUUCACUGUCAGGGAAGGGUUUUUGAUCCUGAGAAAGAAUGCUGUCUCCAGCAGAGGUGGAAAAGCUGCCCAUGCAGAAGGAAAACCAGGAUCAAGCUGACUAAGUAACUGCAUAUAUAGGUGGAAGGCUUUCCUCUCCCACAGGAUCCCGUUGGGAGCACACAUGCAGGUGUAAGUUCCUGCGCCACAUUCCGACCUCAGCCCUGCUUUCGUUUUCUAACUGGCUGAGGUGAGUUGAAUAUACAACGUGUGGUUUCCGUUUUUAAAGGAGUUUGUAGGGAAGCAAAAUAUAUCCAGUUUCUCCCAAGGAACCAGAACUGCCCUGG
rnacentral:lncRNA from 1 species